GAUGAACGCUGGCGGCGUGCCUAAUACAUGCAAGUCGAGCGAACAGACGAGGAGCUUGCUCCUCUGACGUUAGCGGCGGACGGGGGAGUAACACGUGGAUAACCUACCUAUAAGACUGGGAUAACUACGGGAAAACGGAGCUAAUACCGGAUAAUAUAUUGAACCGCAUGGUUCAAUAGUGAAAGACGGUUUUGCUGUCACUUAUAGAUGGAUCCGCGCCGCAUUAGCUAGUUGGUAAGGUAACGGCUUACCAAGGCAACGAUGCGUAGCCGACCUGAGAGGGUGGUCGGCCACCCUGGAACUGAUCCACCGUCCCCCCUCCUACGAGAGGCAGCAGUAGGGAAUCUUCCGCAAUGGUCGAAAGCCUGACGGAGCAACGCCGCGUGAGUGAUGAAGGUCUUCUGAUCGUAAAACUCUGUUAUUAGGGAAGAACAAAUGUGUCAGUAACUAUGCACGUCUUGACGGUACCUAAUCAGAAAGCCACGGCUAACUACGUG
rnacentral:rRNA from 1 species